rnacentral:misc_RNA from 1 species
GUAUUGCGUGAUGGAUCCCUGCUCGGGCAGCGACGUCAUCGCAUCCGCGCCUCUUCAUUCUUUGGGGCGGGCAUGCGCCCGCCCGGCGUUGGUUUUCCUGUGCUGGAUACCCGUAUCGAGGCACCGUGUCGGUUGAAUUGUCCCCYGGCCGCCACGUGCCGCCGCCCCUCGCGGGCAGGCGGUGCGGGGUGGCCCUAACGGCGCACGCCGCGUGUCCCAUCCCGUUGUCCCCGUAAGAAGGGCGCUCGGGCUGACGUCCCGCGGCUUGACGCUCGGUCUCUUGGGUACGGAACGUCGUGUGGGUACGGGGCCUUYGGCCUCGGAGCACCACGAACAAGCGUUCUACGCUUCGUGCGAACGACCGUCGGMUCGGUCUCCUGCCGCGGCCCCCGCGG